rnacentral:misc_RNA from 1 species
GAUGAAGAACGUAGCGAAACGCGAUAAGUAAUGUGAAUUGCAGAAUCCAGUGAAUCAUCGAAUCUUUGAACGCACAUUGCGCCCGCCAGCAUUCUGGCGGGCAUGCCUGUUCGAGCGUCAUUUCAACCCUCGACCUCCCCUUGGGGAGGUCGGCGUUGGGGACCGGCAGCACACCGCCGGCCCUGAAAUGGAGUGGCGGCCCGUCCGCGGCGACCUCUGCGCAGUAAUACAGCUCGCACCGGGACCCCGAAGCGGCCACGCCGUAAAACACCCAACUUCUGAACGUUGACCUCGAAUCAGGUAGGACUACCCGCUGAACUUAAGCAUAUCAAUAAGCGGAGGA